GACGAACGCUGGCGGCGUGCUUAACACAUGCAAGUCGAACGGGAAGGCCCAGCUUGCUGGGUACUCGAGUGGCGAACGGGUGAGUAACACGUGGGUGAUCUGCCCCUGACUUUGGGAUAAGCCUGGGAAACUGGGUCUAAUACCGGAUAUGACCUUUCCUCGCAUGGGGUUUGGUGGAAAGCUUUUGCGGUUGGGGAUGGGCCCGCGGCCUAUCAGCUUGUUGGUGGGGUAAUGGCCUACCAAGGCGACGACGGGUAGCCGACCUGAGAGGGUGAUCGGCCACACUGGGACUGAGACACGGCCCAGACUCCUACGGGAGGCAGCAGUGGGGAAUAUUGCACAAUGGGCGCAAGCCUGAUGCAGCGACGCCGCGUGAGGGAUGACGGCCUUCGGGUUGUAAACCUCUUUCACCAGGGACGAAGCGCAAGUGACGGUACCUGGAGAAGAAGCACCGGCCAACUACGUGCCAGCAGCCGCCGCAGUAA
rnacentral:rRNA from 1 species